CACCUACGGGGGGCAGCAGUGGGGAAUAUUGGGCAAUGGGCGCAAGCCUUACCCAGCAAUACCGCGUGAGUGAAGAAGGUCUUCGGAUUGUAAAGCUCUUUGAUCAGGGACGAACAGAUGACGGUACCUGCAAAGGAAGCACCGGCUAACUCCGUGCCAGCAGCCGCGGUAAUACGGAGGGUGCGAGCGUCAAUCGGAAUUACUGGGCGUAAAGCGCUCGUAGGCGGUAUGUCAAGUCAAGGGUGAAAUCCCCGCGCUCAACGUGGGAACUGCCUUUGAAACUGGCAAACUGGAGUGUGUGAGAG
rnacentral:rRNA from 1 species